rnacentral:rRNA from 1 species
CCUACGGGAGGCAGCAGUAGGGAAUCUUUCACAAUGGGCGAAAGCCUGAUGGAGCAACGCCGCGUGCAGGAGGAAGGCCUUCUGGGUGUAAACUGCUUUUAUAAGCGAGAAAUAUGAUGGUAACUUAUGAAUAAGGAUCGACUAACGACGUGCUAGCAGCCGCGGUCAUACGUAGGAGCCGAGCAUUAUCCGGAGUGACUGGGUGUAAAGAGUUGCGUAGGUGGCAUAAUAAGUAGCUAGUGAAAUCUGGUGGCUCAACCAUUCAGUCUAUUAGCUAAACUGUGAAGCUCGAGAGCGUGAGGGGUAACUGGAAUUUCUAGUGUAGGAGUGAAAUGCGUAGAUAUUAGACGGAACACCAAUAGCGUAGGCAGGUUACUGGGACGGUUCUGACACUCAGGCACGAAAGCGUAGGGAGCAAACGGGAUUAGAUACCCCAGUAGUC